AACGUAGGAGGCAAGCGUUAUCCGGAGUUACUGGGCGUAAAGCGCGUGUAGGUGGAUCGGUAAGUUACUUAUAAAAGCUCCUGGCUAAACUAGGAGAGGUUGAGUGAUACUGCCAGUCUUGAAUAGAGGAGAGGUUGACGGAAUUCCGCGUGUAGUGGUGAAAUGCGUAGAGAUGCGGAAGAACACCAGUGGCGAAGGCGGCAUCCUGGACCGGCAUUGACGCUGAGGAGCGAAAGCCAGGGGAGCAAACGGG
rnacentral:rRNA from 1 species